CCUGACCAGCCCUCAGCAGGACCCGGACCGAGACACAGUUUCCGCGGGCUCCUAGCCCCGGUCCAGGGAAGUUCCGGGAGCCGGAACUCGGCCGCUCCGUGCUCGGUGUAAGCUCCUAUAAGUGUAGGCUCCAAGAAGCAGCCCCCGCGGGCUCAGUUCCGGGAGCCGGAAUUCGGCCGCUUAGUGUUUGGUGUAUGCUCUGAUAGUAGCAGGGUCCAAGAAGCAGCCUCCGCGGGCUCCGCAGCCCUGAGCCAGGGCGGUUCCGGGACGGUUCCGGGAGCCGGAACUCGAAAUGUUGUUAUUUAUAUAUUCUGUAAUUUCAGUUUCAUACGAAAACAAAUUCAGGAGUUGCUUUUAAAAACACUAAAUUCUAUUUUUAAACUGUCUUUUGCCCAUUUUUGUUCCUUUUAGUCUGCCCCGCUGGCUGGAAACCUGGUAGUGAAACAAUAAUCCCAGAUCCAACUGGAAAACUGAAGUAUUUUGAUAAACUAAAUUGAAAACUACUUCAUCAAGUUUUAAUGCUUGAAAGUUCUCAAUAAAGGUCACUGUUUUAUUAUCA